UACGUAGGGGGCAAGCGUUGUCCGGAAUCAUUGGGCGUAAAGCGCGCGUAGGCGGCCCUGUAAGUCCGUUGUGAAAGUCAAAGGCUCAACCUUUGAAAGCCGAUGGAUACUGCAGGGCUCGAGUUCGGAAGAGGCGAGUGGUAUUCCUGGUGUAGCGGUGGAAUGCGCAGAUAUCAGGAGGAACACCAAUAGCGAAGGCAGCUCGCUGGGACGAUACUGACGCUAAGGCGCGAAAGCGUGGGGAGCGAACAGG
rnacentral:rRNA from 1 species